rnacentral:lncRNA from 1 species
AAAUGAAGAAGGGGAUGGUUUCCUGAGAAACCUGGGAAGAGUUGUACGAACUGAUGCAGAGUGCAGUGACCAGAACCAAGAGAACACUUGAAUCACAAUCUCAACAACAUUGUAAAGGCAGACGACGGUGAAAGACUUAGGAACUCCAAAGCAUUCCUGGUGAAACAUGCUGCCGCUUCCGACUGAGAUUUAGACAUGGCCAGAGACCCCAAAGGGAGCCGGGCCCGGCCUGGCCAGAAGCGACAGCACAGCGCUACCCUCUACCACAGUAACUGUGACCUGAACUAUGAGCUGUAUCGGGAAGACUUCCCCUACAGGGUAUAUGAGUAUCAGAGGAUCCCCCCACUUAUCAACCGAGCACCUGUCAAGAGCAGACGGACCCACAUGGGUGCAGGAGGCAAGAGCGGCCUCAGUCCCCACAUCCCUCCACGAAGCAACAACCCACCCCCCAUCCGGACAAAGUUAAGAGCUGAGGAGCUGCACUCGAUCAAGGGGGAGCUGAGCCAGAUCAAGGUCCAGGUGGACAGUCUGCUCGAGAGCCUGGAGCGUAUGGACCAGCGGCGAGACAGACUGGGAGGGACGGUCCAGCUGCCAGUGUGCAGUGCAGACGGGCCCAUGUACCUGGCCGUUGUGAGGAGGGAGUAG